UGUACGAAGUGUAAGGUACGCCACAGACGAGUCAGGACAACCUGCUUACGUGAGAUUUGAAGACAGUAUUAUAGCUCCUAAGCUCGUUAUAAAGAGUCGAUCUGGGAGUAUAGAGCCAGGACACUAUAGGCAACUAAGCGACGGGUCAGCUCCUGACGAUUCAGUCGGCGAGUGAGUCACCUUAUCUGACGUCAUGACACGUGGUUUCAUAUCAUGACGUCACGUACUCACGUGGUUUCAUAUCAUGACGUCACGUGGUUUCAUAUCAUGACGUCACGUGGUUUCAUAUCAUGACGUCAUAUGAUUUGGAUAUAGUAUUUACGCGUGCCCUACGCAGUCGCGUGGCUUUUCAAAUGACUUAAAGUGCUACUUAAUAAAUCGUUAGUUCUCAGUAACCUAAUACUCCAGCUUCAACCACGAGACAUUUUAUUUCAACUUUAUUUCAUGACAGCUCGUGGAUUUUCUUGUUUUAACGAUUUUUUCGGAACUGGUUCAAGGAACAGCUACAGAAACGAUCCUUUUUAAAGUUCCGACAGUUUAACUUUAAUACUUAUAUUUGAGUUUCCUCAAGCAGCUAAAGAUCAUGUUAAAGUUAUCUAAACUGUAUAAUUUUACUCGUAAACAAAUUAUCGAUCGCAUUUUCAUUCCCUCAGUGCAAGUGGUUUCAGAUCCUAUCAUAUAUUUUUGCGGCAAAUUGUUUAUGGUUAGAUUUUUAAUUUUUGGUAUGUUAAAGUAAUUUUAUCUGAGACUCGCAAGAUUUUUAAUGUGUUAUUUGUCCGCAUAAUUAAAGCGACGUCUAUCUUAAUUCUUUGCAUAUUAUGGUUUUCAGAAUUGAAUCAAUACCAUGAACUGAGAUAGUUAUUCAGUGCAAGUGGGUAUUUUCUCAUUUCUGACAGGAUAUAUUUUUCGUAAGUUCGAAAUAUUUCCAAGUCUUCAACAACAAUUAAUAAAAUUUCGUCUUAACUAAUUAAGGAGCUCGAGCCCUUUCCUUUAGUGGAACUUUUUAUAGAUGUAACAGAAAUAUACUAGCAUGUAACAUUUGUAUGGAAUAAUAUUUUUGGAAGGGCGUAGUUUACAGAUGAACUCAGUGUGUAUAUUUUGUUACCGAAAUUUGUUGUUACCGAAAUUUUUUGUGAUGCAAGAAUGUGUUUUGAUAUUUUGUAGUUAAUGAUUUGUUGUUGUUAAAUCCUGUUAUGAUGUUUAAUACCUUCUUUUUAUUAUUCAGAUCGCUUGUACAUCCUUAA